UCCGAGUUGACCCCGGCAGUCUCCCAUGAGUCCCCGCCAUAACGCGCUGGCAACAUGGAACGAGGGUUGCGCUCGUUGCGGGACUUAACCCAACAUCUCACGACACGAGCUGACGACAGCCGUGCACCACCUGUGAUCGAGUCCCGAAGGAGGGCUGAACUUCUCCAGCUUUCCCGACCAUGUCAAGCCUUGGUAAGGUUCUUGGCGUCGCAUCCAAUUAAACCACAUGCUCCGCUGCUUGUGCGGGCCCCCGUCAAUUCCUUUGAGUUUUAGCCUUGCGGCCGUACUCCCCAGGCGGGGAACUUAAUGCGUUAGCUGCGACACAGAAUCCGUGGAAUGGACCCUACAUCUAGUUCCCAACGUUUACGGCAUGGACUAC
rnacentral:misc_RNA from 1 species